rnacentral:rRNA from 1 species
GUGGGGAAUAUUGGGCAAUGGGGGAAACCCUGACCCAGCGACGCCACGUGAGGGAAGACGGCCUUCGGGUUGUAGACCUCUUUUGUACGGGAAGAAGGAAGUGACGGUACUGUACGAAUAAGUCCCGGCUAACUACGUGCCAGCAGCCGCGGUAAUACGUAGGGGACGAGCGUUGUCCGGAAUUACUGGGCGUAAAGGGCGCGCAGGCUGUGCUGCAAGUCAGCUGUGAAAUGUCUGGGCUUAACCCGGGCAUGCGGUUGAGACUGCAGUGCUGGAGUGCUGUAGAGGCAAGUGGAAUUCCCAGUGUAGCGGUGAAAUGCGUAGAUAUUGGGAAGAACACCGGUGGCGAAGGCGACUUGCUGGGCAGCAACUGACGCUGAGGCGCGAAAGCCAGGGGAGCAAACGGGAUUAGAUACCCCAGUAGUCC